rnacentral:rRNA from 1 species
AGGACGAACGCUGGCGGCGCGCUUAACACAUGCAAGUCGAGCGAGAACCAGUCCUUCGGGACUGGGGACAGCGGCGAACGGGUGAGUAACACGUGGGUAAUCUGCCCUCGAUUCUGGGAUAGCCCGGGGAAACCCGGAUUAAUACCGGAUAGCCUUUCGAGCUCUCGGGCUCGUCAGAAAAGGAUGGCUUCGGCUUUCGGUUGAGGAUGAGCUUGCGGCGGAUUAGCUUGUGGUGAGGUAACGGCUCACCAAGGCGACAAUCCGUAGCUGGUCUGAGAGGACGAUCAGCCAACACUGGACUGAGACACGGCCCAGACUACCGUACGGGACGCAGCGAGUGGGAAUCGUGCACAUGAGCGAAAGCUUAGACGCGAGCGACGCCGCGUGAGGGAACGAAGCCGUUACGGU